ACGAACGCUGGCGGCGUGCUUAACACAUGCAAGUCGAACGGAAAGGCCCUGCUUUUGUGGGGUGCUCGGGUGGCGAACGGGGGAGUAACACGUGAGUAACCUGCCCUUGACUUUGGGAUAACUUCAGGAAACUGGGGCUAAUACCGGAUAGGAGCUCCUGCUGCAUGGUGGGGGUUGGAAAGUUUCGGCGGUGGGGGAUGGACUCGCGGCUUAUCAGCUUGUUGGUGGGGUAGUGGCUUACCAAGGCUUUGACGGGUAGCCGGCCUGAGAGGGUGACCGGCCACAUUGGGACUGAGAUACGGCCCAGACUCCUACGGGAGGCAGCAGUGGGGAAUAUUGCACAAUGGGCGGAAGCCUGAUGCAGCAACGCCGCGUGCGGGAUGACGGCCUUCGGGUUGUAAACCGCUUUCGCCUGUGACGAAGCGUGAGUGACGGUAAUGGGUAAAGAAGCACCGGCUAACUACGUG
rnacentral:rRNA from 1 species